AUCUGUUCAAGAGAUCUUGGUCCUUGUAAUAGUGUUUUUCAGUCAAAAAUGUUGGAAAAGACUGCUAUCGAAAAUGAUACUAUAACUAUUCAUAACACUCGCCGAAAUUCUAUUUGUAAUACCGGAAGAUUUAUUUUCCCUCUGAAACGAUCAGCUCUAAAACAAUCUAUGGAGUCAAGGAAUAAAUCAAGGAAUAAAGCAUACCCUGAGGUUAAAAUCAUCACUGUAGCUUUUAUUAAAAUCGUGGGGAUAAAUGAAAAAAGGCAUACAUAUUAUUUGGCAUGGCAUCUGGAAACAAUUUUACAGUAAAGAAGAAAACGCUACCAUUCCUAGUAUUUCAAAUGUCGAAGCCUAUAUUGGGUAACGGAAUAUUGAAGAGGAACCAAUUGACACCACACACAUUAGAGGAAUUAAUAUACCUGCUGCAGCACAGUAUAUUGAAUUUAAACUGAAGAUACCAAACUUAACCAAAGAUGAAUCAUGCAGAUAAGGAAGGGGAGCUUCAGCUGUCGAUCUACAAAAUAGGAGACAAGCGAAAAACAAGAGAAGGGCAAUGUGUAGUUCCAUGUUUUUGUGAACUGAGUGAAAAUCCUUGAAUAUUAUCAUAGUGAAUUAUAGUCAUAGUGAGUGGAACUGGAAUGCCCCAUAGCCAAGGAACCUCUGAUAUAUAUCAGGUCCAGUACCUGGACAGUGAAGUCGUUCGAUAGAUUCAAUGCAGUUCACUAAUAUUAAUAUUAAGCUUCCCCGCACUCAUCUUUUUCAGACCCGGAUUCCAAGGACCAACUGUCAUUAUGAUUUGUCCUGGACUCGAUAAUACGCUAUCUCUUCCUCAAUUGCGUAUUACGAGGAUUUAUCAUUGACCUGGUAUCAUGCAGACUCUUGAUCUUAUGAUGACUCAUCCUAGACUCGAUACUUCAAUCGAAGGAGUCCUUUAGAUAUUAUGGUAACUCUUCUUCAAUUGUGUGCUACGAAAACUCACUGGCCUGGCGCCAUGCGAACUCUUCUCGGACUGGAGUGAGAUUAUAAUAAUUUAUCCUAGACUCUACACUACAAUAACUCUCCUUAAAUUAUGUGCUACGAUAACUUAUCGUUGGCCUAGUGCCGUGAAUAAUCCUUUUGGAAUUGAUUUUAUUUUAAGUUAUCCUAAACUCAGCAACAUAAUUAUUUGUCCUGAUCGAUGAAGAGUUGCCUACCCUUGCUGUAGUUUUACUCAAAUAACUAAAUAAAUACACUUUUUGCUUCAGAUUUGAGAUACAUUUUUUUAUUAAAACAAAUUAAUUUUUAUUGUGUUUAAACAUUAACAAACCCUCAAAUUUUUUGGAGCAUUGAAGAUAUUCUGAUAAUAAAGGCUUCCUGCUUACUCGCUA
rnacentral:lncRNA from 1 species